GUUGGAGAGGUGGGUGUGCAGGGGUUGGAGAGGUGUGUGUGCAGGGGUUGGAGAGGUGUGUGUGCAGGGGUUGGAGAGGUGGGUGUGCAGGGGUUGGAGAGGUGGGUGUGCAGGGGUUGGAGAGGUGUGUGUGCAGGGGUUGGAGAGGUGUGUGUGCAGGGGUUGGAGAGGUGGGUGUGUGUACUGCAUAACAUGUUAGGUGAGUUUUAAGAAGGGGGGGGGGGUAUUUGUAAAGACAUUUUACUGAUAUUAAUGUAUCAGUAAAAUUUUACUGCAUUUUACUGAUAUUAAUAUAAAUGUAUUGUUAGGUUCUGAACAGAGUAAAAACUCAAACGGACGACUAGUAAAACCUCAGAGUUUAUUCACCGCCCUGAAAGCCUCGGCUGCAAGCACAUUUCACACAUGAUCAAACAGGCAUUUAUACAUCAGGGUGUAUCUUCUCUGAACUGCCUUCUGUUGCCCAAUACUGCCUACAUGUUGCAUCGUUGUCUUGGCCUUCCAGCCGUCUGCCAGCCGUUCCUCUUAUCUGUCUCGCUGUCUAGAGAAUGAAGGAAUAGACUAUAGGCCAGUCUGUAUUGUAGACUGAUGUGUUCUGGUUGUUUCUGUGACCUCACAAUCAGUUUCAUGGUCAGAAAUGAUGGAAACCGCUUCUAUUAAAGAACCUACACCA